rnacentral:lncRNA from 1 species
CUCUCCUGACACCUUCUUGGAAAUGAAUAGGAGGGGAGAAACUGAGUGGGAAACAAAUGGCACUCUGACAUAGAGAAAACAAAAGGACUGCCAUCUUCAGCGUAACUCCCUGCAAGUCUGAUUGAAGUGGUUUUACUAAGAGAUGUAUUGGUCCCAUCUGUGGUUGGUUCAGCAGAAUGCAGUUGGCCAUCUAUCUUCAAUCUGAGAACCUGAGAAUGGAAGUCACUCAUGUGUGGAUCUCCCUCGGACCAGGCAGAGUCCUGACCUGGUCUCAGGCUCACCCUGAUGUGAAUUACAGUAAGUGA